rnacentral:lncRNA from 1 species
CUCGGAAUCGGAACACCAAAAUUGAGCAAAGUGCUAGACAGUGCAAUUCAUAUGGUGAAGAUGAGCUAGAAGGUGGACCCAGCACACGCCUUAGGAAAAGAGUCCGAAAGCCUCUGAAAGAGUCAGAAACAAAACCAAAAGAGAAGAAGCAGGCCAGUAAGAAGAAAGUGAAGAAUGCUUCAAAUGUGAAAACUCUAGCUGGUCACAAUACUUCAAAAGUAAGGGAUGAGGAAGCAGAAUACCAGUGUGACAUGGAAGGAUGCACCAUGAGUUUUGGCUUGAAACAAGAGCUGCUCCUGCACAAAAGAAACAUUUGUCCGGUCAAGGGGUGUGGGAAGAAGUUCUUCUCACACAAGUAUCUGGUGCAGCAUCGCCGAGUUCAUUUGGAUGACCGAC